GUUCACUAGAUCCUGUUUUAGCUUCAACAAAAAUAUAAACAAGUGCCCAGAUAAUUUAUAAUUCGACACAGUACAUGCAGUAUUACUAUUAGGUUUGAAAGCUUAUUCAAAUCACAGAUCUAGAGUAUUGUAAAAUGUUCUUUUGAAAUUACAGGGUGGCUUGAUAAUACCUGAGGUAAACCGAACACAAAAACAGCUAACAAAAAACCCAAAAUAAUGAAAAAAAGUACAAUUUGUACUACAAAUAAGACAACUUUUCAAGAGUUGUAGAGUCCAAAUAAAACAUAAAAAAUAACAACUAUAGGUCACCAUAUUGCCUUCAACAUUGAGCAAAGCCCAUACAACAUACUCAUACAGUAGGGGCGGAAGAAGAAAGGAGUAGGUCCGGUAAGGACCGAUUUUGGCCUCAAAUUUCAGGUUCAUCUAACGAAAGAUUUUGAUCAAUUUUUAAUCACUUAAGUGUCUAUUUCAUUUGAAUCAAUUAGUUUAUGGGGAACAUUUUAACUGAUCUAGUCAUUAUAAACGAUCCGAUUCAAGCUCAAAUAUGAAAAAUCUACCAAAUAUGCCGAAAAAAAUCACUUUUCAGAUGUUUUUUGUCAAAAAUGAAAGUGGCCGCAUCCGUGUUCAUCCUCAACCUUUAUAUAUGUUAUGUAUUAUCAUAAAAUACAACUUACAUUUCAAUAUUAAGGAUGAACACGAAUGCGGCCACUUUCCUUUUACACGAAAACCGUCUAAAAUUUAACUAAAAUGCUAGAAUUGUGACGAUUUCAGUAAUUAAGCAUGACUUUAUGGUGCUAGUACCCGAUAAAUGUGCAUUAAUAUGUCAAAAACAGCCAAUAUUUAUGUAGAAGAAGCAUUUUACUGUAUAAUGAACAACUAAUAGUUUACAUUUUAACAAUUUUGUAAAACUGCUAUAUUUUGGGGCCAAAAAGUGGUCUUACUGGACCUACUCCUUUUCAAAAUGAAUUAAAUGAAAAAAACUUGAUGACAUAUUUUACAAUGUUCAUGAUGUUUUAGGCAUUGCAAAUAUAAACUCAAAACAGUUAAGGUUUUUUUUUCAAAUACUCCAUUAAAUAAGAAUAUAUUACAACAAUUUUUCAAAAUUCCUAUUUUCAAACUUAUUUUGUAAACUCUUUCCAUUUCCAAAUAUUGAUAAUUUACACAUUUUCACCAUCCCACAGUAUUUAACUGUGGCACCAAUAGCUCUUAGGUCCUUACGUUACUUUUUUGGACCAUAGAUGGUCGGUCCGCAAAAUAAAAAAAUAAAAUAAAAAAAGGACCAUAAGAGUUACGGUUCCGCAGCUACACAGUAAUAUGAGGCAACAAUAUUAACUUCUGUUCAACAUGUUCAAAUACAACCCUGAUCAUGCUUAUAUCAUUUAAAUAGUUUAUAUCUGCUUAAUUCAUCUUCUCAUCCAAUAAGAAUGGUGAAAGUGACUUGUCUGCUUGUAGUUCUGUUCCAGCAUGUUCAUUAUUUUUUUUUAUGUCAAGUUACCCAUGUUACCGUUAAGAGUUCUUUUCUUUGUAACACAUCAAUUGCUGGACUGAAAAGGAUAAUAAAAAAAAUAUAUGAAAAUGUUAAAGUAAUAAACAGAUAAAGAGGAUAGUUAAUGCAUAUUUAAAAAGUUAAAUUUGAUUUCAUAACAGUUCUUAUACAACAUGUACAACAUCUUAGUACAUGUACAUUUGUAUAUCUACUUUCUCCUUUUUCAUGUUUCAAAAAAAGACACAGAACAUGCGUCAAUUGUUUCUAAUAUAAUUGAUUAUAUAGUUCAAAUAUGCAAAUAUGUAACACAGCAACAUACAAAAUCCACUGAAUUACAUGCUCCUGAUUUGGGACAGGCAAAUACAGAAUGAAGGGGGGUUUAACAUGUAAGCUGGUGUCCAACCUUCCCCUAAUCAUGUGAAAGUGGUGCAUCAGAUCAAUACAAGAGCUGAACAACACAAUAAACCAACAACACAUUAACAUUAUAUAUAAUAAGCAGACUUGAACCUCUCAACUGCAUACUCCUGACUUGGGACAGGCACAUAUAGAAAAUGGCAGGGUUAAACAAUCCCCUAACCUCUGACAGUGGUGUAACAUGUAUACAGUACAACAUGUAUUAAUCAUAAAGAACAAACCAUAAAAAUUAAUUGAAAAGGGCUUAACUCUUUACUUACAAAUGUAUCAGAUAGGUACCAAUAGAAAUACUUAUAAAAAGAGUCAAUUAUCAUGAUAAUGAUAAAUUAAUAUAAAAGGACUUGUUACAAAUGUAUAUUUGUGUAAUUAUAUGCAUAAACACACUUUCAAUGAAAUGGAAAAACAUUACCUUUUCAGUUUUUUUAAUUAAAAAAUCAAUUUUGUACUAUCUUUUAUAUAUAUUUGGGGGGUCUUAAGAGAGUAUUUACAAAUGAUGUACAGUACAUGUAUGGGUAAUAGAAGGUACAAAAUGUACAUGUACCUGUAUGCACAUUUGUAGACUGUUUCACUUAAUUGAUAUACAUGUAUUUGAUAAAUAAUCAGCAAAUGUAAAAGGAUACAAAAUCACCAAAGAAAAUAUAAUCAUAAUUAUCAUGAACAAAUGUUAAAUAUUUUGGAUAACUUAUAUCAUGUAUAUCAUGUACAUGUAUAUAGAUCAUCAGUAAGAUGUAAACUGAUUCUUAUAUAUUUUGACAUGUGGUACAUGUAGUUGAACUGAAAUUAUCAUUUUGAUGGUUAUACAAAUUAUCACGAAUCAAUAUGCUGUUAAUUUUUUUUUUCAAUAUUGAUGUUUAGGAGGAGCAAUUAAUUCCCCAAAAUCUCUACUGAAGCCUGCGUUACUGGAAACAGGUGAUGGUAGGGACUCAUUCUAUGUUUUUCAUUAAUCAUGUUAAUGCCCUCUGGGGAAACUGUUCUUGACCUUCUUAUAAAAAACUUUCCUGAGCAAGUUUGUUGGCCCUUAAUUGACCAUAUUAACCAACCUUCAUUGUGGUCUAUGAUCAUGAUGAUAGUGAUGUUAAGGUUUUGAGAUCAGCUUGGGUGUGCCUAGGUUACCACACAACUUGCAUCAUGUGUACCAUCCUGCAGUUGAAACAAAUAAUCAUACACACACUUGUACAUGUAUCAACAUUCUGUAUAAAUUUAAACAUGUUAAUCUACAUGUUUUUCUACAUUAGCAUGAUUAGACAUCUUAGAUAUAAGAUUAUAUGCAUUGUGAGUUCGAACCCAGCUAGUGCGGGUGCACUCGACUCCAAGCUUAAUUGACUAGUAUUGUCAGUUUUCCAAUAGGAGGAUGGUGGUUUUCUCCUGGCACUCCGGCUUCCUCCACCAAUAAAAACUGACCGCCACAAAAUAGCCUAAAUGCAGUGCUUAAACAUGUAAAAAGUGGUGUUAAAACACCAAAAAUAAAAAAAUAAAUUUUUUUAAAGAAAAAGAUCACCAAUUCAUUGUGCAAUUACACAUUCCUGUAUGAUGUCAUUAACAGAUAGAAUGUGCGCCUGUAUCGCUGCACCUAUUAAAUAUUCAAGCAUCAUCAGGAUCGUCUUUCUGCAGGAUAGUCUAGAAAGAAUUCUGUUCUGAAGGGACUUAUUUACCACAACGUGCUUCACAACUAAAAGGAGGUUGACAUUCAGAAUUCUAAUUAGAUUUUUAUUUCUUUAGUUUUUCAUGCAGUAUAUAGCCUUAGACUUUUUCAACCAUUUACUCAACAUAGGACCCUUGGUAGUAAUUACAAUGCCUACAUUUUAGUCACAUGGUGAUGAAAGUCAAAUGACAGAUAUAAGUAACUGCCGUCAUGACCAUAUCUUUGAACUGGCAUAUUUGAUUGCUCAGCUAAGAUGAUUGACACCUCAAUUUUAAUGAUUCAUUGAAAUUAAAUUAUUAAAUCUUUUUUUCUUGUUUUGUACAGUGGAAUGGCAUCUUCAAAAGAGAACUUUGAUAACUCAGUUUGUCCUGAGUCUUCAAAUCAACCAAUGAAAAGACGUCAUACUGAGUCAGGAGCUUCCUCUGACAACAACAGCGAACAAGUUAAGUACAAAGGGAACAAGAAAAAACGCAAUUCAGAAGUGGAGAACAAUUUUGUCUCCCAUCCAGAAGAGAGUAUGCACAGUGAAGCAGACUCAGAAAAAUCUAUUUUUCCAUUGGGAACCGUGAUAAAGAAAAACAUUUCAGACUGGACGGCCAUAGACCUAUCACCUUUCAGAAUGAACUUUGAAAAAUGUGCAAAUAUAGAAAAUGUGUUCUUCAAUGGGCUUUCACAUUUUGCAAUGAAAAAGGAAUGGUCUCCUAGAAUUUUGAAAUUAGGCUUCCGUAGCCCUGAAGACCAAGUAAAAUGUGAAUGUUUUCAAUAUGCAAUUGAUAAUAUCAUUAACAUUGACUGUAAUAACAUUGAAGAAAUUGAAUUCAGUGACCUUUCAAAAAUAAGGCAUACAAUUGAGGACGCUCAUUGGAUUGCCGACUAUGUAGGAACAUCAGAUGUUAGAGACAGGUAAUGCCAUUAACAGGUAAAAUAAAAAGUUAUGUUUUAUAAAGUGCACAGUGUAAAUGAUGUAGUGUGAGAUAAAACAGUUAAGAAUGGAAG
rnacentral:lncRNA from 1 species